GAUGAACGCUGGCGGCGUGCUUAACACAUGCAAGUCGAACGAUGAAGCCCAGCUUGCUGGGUGGAUUAGUGGCGAACGGGUGAGUAACACGUGAGUAACCUGCCCUUAACUCUGGGAUAAGCCUGGGAAACUGGGUCUAAUACCGGAUAGGAGCGUCCACCGCAUGGUGGGUGUUGGAAAGAUUUAUCGGUUUUGGAUGGACUCGCGGCCUAUCAGCUUGUUGGUGAGGUAAUGGCUCACCAAGGCGACGACGGGUAGCCGGCCUGAGAGGGUGACCAGCCACACUGGGACUGAGAGACGGCCCAGACUCCUACGGGAGGCAGCAGUGGGGAAUAUUGCACAAUGGGCGCAAGCCUGAUGCAGCGACGCCGCGUGAGGGAUGACGGCCUUCGGGUUGUAAACCUCUUUCAGUAGGGAAGAAGCGAAAGUGACGGUACCUGCAGAAGAAGCACCGGCUAACUACGUG
rnacentral:rRNA from 1 species